GGGGAGGUGCCGGAGUGGCCAAACGGGGCGGGCUGUAAACCCGUUGGCAAUGCCUGCGGUGGUUCGAAUCCACCCCUCCCCA
rnacentral:tRNA from 1 species